rnacentral:pre_miRNA from 1 species
AGCAUGACUAGAAUAUAUGAUAAGAGUAUUUAGUUUAUAGGAAACUGACAAACUCUCUUCCAAAGUGACUGUACCAUUUUUGUAUUUCCACCAGCAAU